GAUCAGGCUGUUGGUGAGGUAAUGGCCCACCAAACCUAUAACCGGUACGGGCUCUGAGAGGAGAAGCCCGGAGAUGGGCACUGAGACAAGGGCCCAGGCCCUACGGGGCGCAGCAGGCGCGAAACCUCUGCAAUAGGCGAAAGCCUGACAGGGUUACUCUGAGUGAUUUCCGCUAAGGGGAUCUUUUGGCACCUCUAAAAAUGGUGCAGAAUAAGGGGUGGGCAAGUCUGGUGUCAGCCGCCGCGGUAAUACCAGCACCCCGAGUGGUCGGGACGAUUAUUGGGCCUAAAGCAUCCGUAGCCGGUUCUGCAAGUCUUCCGUUAAAUCCAGCCGCUCAACGGAUGGGCCGCGGAGGAUACUACAGGACUAGGAGGCGGGAGAGGCAAGCGGUACUCAGUGGGUAGGAGUAAAAUCCUUUGAUCCAUUGAAGACCACCAGUGGCGAAGGCGGCUUGCCAGAACGCGCUCGACGGUGAGGGAUGAAAGCUGGGGGAGCAAACCGGAUUAGAUACCCGGGUAGUCCCAGCUGUAAACGAUGCAGACUCGGUGAU
rnacentral:rRNA from 1 species